AUUACCUGUCAACUGGCGAAAGUCUUCCUACAGCAAACACUGUCUAAUGACAUCAAUGAAUGCACACCUGUCAGUCUGCCUUCUAGGAUCGAGAAAGCAGAGCUUGGUUCCGAUCUCCCUGGGAUAGGGUCAACGGCCCCUGCCCCUUCGGACCACCCCUCUACAACCCUGGCACUGCCACGUCGGGAGCUCGCCACGCGAACUGCAGCCCGCCUCAAUGCCGCCCCUGCGUUUGUCUCUUAUCCUUGCAUCACUACAGGUAUGAGCUUAAAAGACUUUGACAGAAAUGCUUGCAACAUUCCGAGAUUCUAACCUAAAUUUGACAGCUCACGCGACACAGCCGCGUACCUCAAAGACAUUGACUUUUACCUUAAACGAUUUCCUUGCGCUACCACGGAUGAUAGAUUGUAUCUUAUUAAAGUUACUUCUAACCAAGAAGUAAGUAGCUUAAUUGAAUGACAACCAGGACUUGUACUGUCUAACUAUCAAGACCUCUGUCAGGCUUUGUCCCAUGAAUUUGACAAUCCGGAGGCUGCAACCGGCUUAUCGGCAGCUCUUACUAUUAAACAGGAGAGCCUCGAAACGCCACAAGCUUACUACUGUCGGUUGCGUAAUGCGUUGUUUGAAAAUUUUAACGAACCGAACAUGGAAGAAGACAUACAUUUUAAGACGCUUUUUGUUGAAAACAUGCACACAUAUUAAACAACAUUUGGGCGUGGCAGUAUGCCCCCGCACACUGUCCAGCUCACAACUGCGCGACCUAGCCGCUAAAGGUUUCGCUAAGCACAAAACGACCAACACAAAGCUGUCGGAUCAUAAUAUUUUUGGCUUGAGCUACCAAAAUAAUGACGCGCGCCAAAACUUUGAACAUUUGCUGGAAACUGACGCCUGGUCAACAGUCAUGCAUCCUCUUUCACAACCCCACAAGGGGUCACUAACAAAGAAUUGAGUAGCCUAUUCUUGAGAUCAUCCGCAGCUUGGCGAAUAAUAUGAAGCAAGACCUAUGACAGCCUGAGCCCCUGCUUGGAGACCACGCCCCCGAGCCUGGUCAGCCCGCUGUGAUGGUCUGUUCUGACUCCGACGUCUCUGUGCAUUCGGCUGAUUCUCCAAUUAGCGAUGACAAGCAUCCCGUCCAACAGACCGUGGGCAAGCACAUAACCAACCACUGCGAUGACCAGGUACCCCCCCUUACUAAAAUCAGACCAGAACCCAGUUCGACAAUUAGACCUCGACAGUCUCGGACCAUGACUCCAGCGACCUAUCAAACAAAAAAGACAAACCGCCAUUUCAGCACCUAGGUAAGCUCACCGUUAAUGACACGUCAGGGAAAUCUUACUUGACAACCACACUUGAACGUACGUUCCAAUAUGACGGACUCGUGGAUACUGCAGCAGACAUCACGGUCAUGUCCGAGGAUGUGUUGGACUUACUGCGUGACAAAUUACAGCAAGAAAGCCAUACACUAAACCUGCAACACUGCGAAAUGACAAUUCGCCCCUUUGCUUUGACGAACACCCAAUUAAACUCGCUUGUGUGGUUACAUUGGACAUUAGGGCCACAUUCCAUAAUUCAUGUGUUCGUGUCACCUGUCAAGACACUUUGCUCAUUGGACAAGAUCUGCUAAGUCGUUUCAUGCCAUUAAUUGAUUAUACUAGGCGUGAGAUUUAUGCCCAGGUGCGACGACCAGAACACACGAGAGAAUCCUCCCAGUGCCACGCUCUGUGCCUCCUGGAUGCGCCGCCUCUCUCAAAAUUGCAGCCAGAUGACAGCUUGACAAAAGGGGGGUGUACACCGGUAACGCUGAAGAUGUCCACCAGUGGUCGCUCUCGCAACACCAACCAAGCUUUUGAGACCACAGGACCCUUUGGUGAGAUGCAAAACUGCGCCCUCUGAGUCGCAUAACAUCAUUGGUCCACCUAUUCAGCUGUCACGCUAACCUUGAUUGUGUCUUUCUUGAAUAGCUGGCCAUCACUCUCAGUGGCCGCUAAGUCAUUGUACUUUUUUUGUGAUUUUCACACACGCAUGGCUUCAACGGCACAGGACAUGUGGGCGUUGUCUCUUAUCAGAGACCUCGGACUUCCUGUGCACUGGUUCCCUACACCUUGCAAAGUGCACCCCGGUGCUAUUUCGCCCACCCCUCCCACCAAAUGCCGGGGACCCGACUAUUCUGGUGCUCCUGCAAUGACCACUUGUGAUGUGCAAUUCCUUCUGUGUUGGGUCCCAGCCUUCCUCUUCUCCACUGCGUUAUUCGUGAUGUCGACUGCUUUUCCUUUAAUCUUUCCGUGGCUUGCCUUGGCGGCCACCCUUUCAAUUCUUCCUUCCUGCGCGUUGUGCAAGCUUAACUCUGGUUGCUCCUUGGCUUUGCACCUGCUCAUUUGCAUUAUCGUGGACUUUUGUUACUGCGCCUCCAUGGCGCUCACUUCUCAGCCUCUCGGAGCACCACGGAGCGAAAGGGGGGGUCACACAAAGUCACACGUCUGUGCCCGAGGAAAGACUUCACACCUGCCCCCAGCUGGUCUGCUGCGUCCCUUGCCUAUCCCGAGCCGCCCUUGGUCCCACAUCGCCUUGGACUUUAUUACCGGCCUACCCCCCUCUGAAGUCCAUUGAAUCCCCAUCGAUAUCGUCUCGGACCGAGGUCCUCAGUUCUCCUCCCUUUUCUGGAAGGAGUUCUCUAAAGCGAUGGGCACAGCAGCCAGCUUGUCUUCGGGAUACCAUCCACAGACCAAUAGCCAGACGGCAACGUGGGCAAAUCAGUCCCUGGAAUCGGCCCUUCGCUGCGUUGCCGCACGCAACCCCACAUCCUGGAACUCAUUCCACACAUGGAUUGAGUACGCCCACAACUCCCUCAUCAGCUCCGCUACUGUUAUGUCUCAUGGACUGCUACGGUUUCAAACCGCUAUUAUUCAGAACAGGAGCAGGUGGUGGCGGUUCCCACGGUAAGGGAUCACCUUAAGAGGAUCCAGGCCGUUUAGAAAGACGUCAGGGCGGCCUUAACCCGGUCCACAAAGAGAAACAAACGGCUCGCGGACCUUCGUCGCUCUCCGUCAGUCCGUUUGGCUUUCCUCCCGUGACCUCCCACUCCAGAAGGAAUCCCGCAAACUCACUCCGUGAUUUAUUGGAAAAUUUACGGAAAAUCAACAAUCCCACGUCUGUUCAACUGAAACUUCCGCAAUCUCUGAAAAUGUAUCCAACGUUCCAUGUGUCACUACUCAAGCCUGUCUCCACCUGCGCUCUUAGCCCUCCGGCCGUAAGCCCGCCGCCCCUCCGCGUUAUCGCCAACCAUCCGGCCUUCACGGUUUUGCACAUCCUCGAUGUGACGCCCAGGGGGAGGGGUUACCAGUUUCUGGUAGACUGGGAGGGGUAUGGUCCGGAGGAACGCUCCUGGAUUUCCCGUAAGCUGAUCCUUGACGACUCCCUCAUUACGGCCUUUUACGCGGCUCACCCAGAGAAACCGGGCAGGACGCCAGGAGGCGUUUGUUGAGAGGGGGGUACUGUCAUUAGCUGUGCCCCGCAGUUCUUUUGUUGGAGCUUAGGUGGCGCUUUGUGCCCCUCUCGCCCUCUCUCUCUCUCUUCCCAGUAAUCAGCACCACCUUGGCCACACACCUGUCAUCAAUCAGCCUUCAUUAUCACCUGCAUAAAAGCCUGCCAGAUCCCGGAAACCCUCGCCAGAGUAUUAACGUUCUCCCGUGUGCUCCUUCCGUGUUCCCCGCCGUGUUGACCUCUUCCACCACGCUGCCAAGCCAUCCACCUGCUCACGCCACAGCCUGCCACUCGUUCCCUGUCUCGACAACCCGCCAGUACGCCUCAAAGAUCCCUCUCCAUAUCCUCUUCAAUAAACCUUUCACCACAAA